UAGGCUGAUGGCCCACUCACCUUUUUAGCUGGGCUCCUGACCUGUCCGGCCAGAAAGUUGCCACUGGGGAACCUGGACCCCUACUGAAUGGAUCUGCUGGCACCUAGACCUCAGAGAAGGGGGAACUGAAGACUGAAGUCUGACCACUGUUCUUUGUUGAAAAUUUCUUUCUCAGGGGCUUGGAGGGAUCACAUCUACAAUCCUGAGCUAAUAUUCUCUUCUGCUGUCCCCAAAAUUUAAACGAAGCUUCUCUUAACCCAUUGCAAAUGAGAAAAAUCUUUGAAUCUACCUAUGACUAUAAGCCCUUAUUUCAAGAUAUCCUGCCUUUUUAGGCCAGAACCAAAGUGUAACCUCCAUCUAUUGAUUUACAAUUUUGCCUGUAACUUUGGCUUUCCUGAAAUUUACCCCAGCCUUAAAAAAAAAAAAGAACAGAAAAAGAAAACUGCAAGGCAUCAGGGAGGUCAGAAUUUGGGCAUGAGCUGCCUGAUCCUCCUUGCUUUGCAUCUUUGCAAAUAGAUGCCUUCAGCUGUGCAUGAUGGCUCACACCUCUCAUCCCAGCACUUUGGGAGGGCAAGGCGGGAGGAUUGCUCCAUCCCAGGAGUUCGAGAUCAGGGGCAAAAUGCCGAAACCCUGUCUCUACAAAAAAUUAAAAAAUUAGCUGGGCAUGAUGGUGCACUUCUGUAGUCCCAGCUACUUGGGAGGCUGAGGCAGGGGGAUUGCUUGAGCCCAAGAGGUUGAGGCUACAUGAGCCAUCAUCGUGCCACUGCACUCCAGCCUGGGAAACAGAAUGAGACCCUGUCUCAAAACAAAACAUUUGAAAAAUAACAAGUUCAGGUGCAGUGGCUCAUACCUGUAAUCCCAGCACUUUGGGAGGCCAAAGUGGUCGGAUCACUUGAGGCCAGGAGUUCAUGACCAGCCUGGCCAACAUGGCAAAACCCCAUCUCUACUAAAAAUACAAAAAUUAGCUGGGUGUGGUGGCUGGCAACUCUAGUCCCAGCUACUCCGGAGGCUGAGGCAGGAAAAUCACUUGAACCCAGGAGGCGGAGGUUGAAGUGAGCCGAGAUCACACCACUGCACUCCAGCCUGGGCAACAGAGCAAGACUCUGUCUCCAAAAAUAACAAAAAAUAAAUACAUGCCUUCCUUUCUACUGCUGCACAACCUCACUGUGUCAGGCAGGAGGCAUCUCUGGAUCCAGCUGGUUUUUGUUUUGCUGAGGCUCAGCUUCUUCCUGGAACUUUUUGAAACAACACUCAAGGGUCUCAAGUGGGUAUUUUUUCAUGUUGUAUACCCAAAAACCUGAAAACCCAGGGCCCUGGGUUACAGUAUUUCCACGUCGUAUACCCAAAAACCUGAAAACCUGGGGACCCUGGGUUCCAGUAUUUCCUGGCGAUCUUACCCACUACCACCAUCUAGUCAAUUUGAACCACCUCCUCAACCACCUAUGAGGGCCUAAACACUCUUUCACUCCCUUUCCUGCCAGUGGCUGACAUGAUGGUCUGUGACCUGAAAGUUGUUGAAUAGUUGGAGUGUUCUGCAUUCAUGUGGAAGAGGCUAAAGGAUGUUUGAUGAAGCACUAUGGGCUGCCCUGGAAGAGGACUGAAGAAGCAGCUGCAGGAAAGAAACGUCCACUCUGCUCCAGUCAACCCCACUGCUGGUGUCCUCUGCACUGCCUUGCACUCCCUGAAGAGAGCCUGGGCAACAGAGCGAGACUCCAUCUCAGAAUGAAUGCUUCAAGACCACAGUGCUCUCCUGCCUUGGAAACACCUUCGCCUUCCUCCGCUUCUCUUUGGCUACCAUGGUCACCCUCCACACUGCUUUCCUCAACUCUCGGGCAGGCUGGUCUCAAACUCCUGACCUCAUGUGGUCCUCCUGCCUCAACCUCCCAAAGUGCUGGGAUUAUAGGCAUGAGCCACUGCAUCUGGCCCGAUUCUUUAUAUUUGUAAAAAGCGUACUGUACUUCAAUAUAUUCAAAAUUAGACUAUUAUUUAGAAGUAUAUCAAUUUGCAGCCAGGGCAGUGGCUCACGCCUGUCCUUUACACAUAUAAGAUGGUAAUACACGGCCGGGCACAGUGGCUUGUGCCUGUAAUCCCAGAACUUUGGAAGGCCGAGGUGGGUGGAUCACCUGAGGUCAGGAGUUCGAGACCAGACUGGCCAACAUGGAGAAACCCCGUCUCUACUAAAAAUACAAAAAUUAGCCAGGUGUGGUGGUGGGCUCCUGUAAUCCCAGCUACUUGGGAGGCUGAGGCAGGAGAAUCCCUUGAACCUGCGAGGUAGAGGUUGUAGUGAGCCGAAAUUGCACCAUUGCACUCUAGCCUGGGCAACAAGAGCG
rnacentral:lncRNA from 1 species